AAUGGGUCAGCGACUUAUAUUCUGUAGCAAGGUUAACCGAAUAGGGGAGCCGAAGGGAAACCGAGUCUUAACUGGGCGUUAAGUUGCAGGGUAUAGACCCGAAACCCGGUGAUCUAGCCAUGGGCAGGUUGAAGGUUGGGUAACACUAACUGGAGGACCGAACCGACUAAUGUUGAAAAAUUAGCGGAUGACUUGUGGCUGGGGGUGAAAGGCCAAUCAAACCGGGAGAUAGCUGGUUCUCCCCGAAAGCUAUUUAGGUAGCGCCUCGUGAAUUCAUCUCCGGGGGUAGAGCACUGUUUCGGCAAGGGGGUCAUCCCGACUUACCAACCCGAUGCAAACUGCGAAUACCGGAGAAUGUUAUCACGGGAGACACACGGCGGGUGCUAACGUCCGUCGUGAAGAGGGAAACAACCCAGACCGCCAGCUAAGGUCCCAAAGUCAUGGUUAAGUGGGAAACGAUGUGGGAAGGCCCAGACAGCCAGGAUGUUGGCUUAGAAGCAGCCAUCAUUUAAAGAAAGCGUAAUAGCUCACUGGUCGAGUCGGCCUGCGCGGAAGAUGUAACGGGGCUAAACCAUGCACCGAAGCUGCGGCAGCGACGCUUAUGCGUUGUUGGGUAGGGGAGCGUUCUGUAAGCCUGUGAAGGUGUGCUGUGAGGCAUGCUGGAGGUAUCAGAAGUGCGAAUGCUGACAUAAGUAACGAUAAAGCGGGUGAAAAGCCCGCUCGCCGGAAGACCAAGGGUUCCUGUCCAACGUUAAUCGGGGCAGGGUGAGUCGACCCCUAAGGCGAGGCCGAAAGGCGUAGUCGAUGGGAAACAGGUUAAUAUUCCUGUACUUGGUGUUACUGCGAAGGGGGGACGGAGAAGGCUAUGUUGGCCGGGCGACGGUUGUCCCGGUUUAAGCGUGUAGGCUGGUUUUCCAGGCAAAUCCGGAAAAUCAAGGCUGAGGCGUGAUGACGAGGCACUACGGUGCUGAAGCAACAAAUGCCCUGCUUCCAGGAAAAGCCUCUAAGCAUCAGGUAACAUCAAAUCGUACCCCAAACCGACACAGGUGGUCAGGUAGAGAAUACCAAGGCGCUUGAGAGAACUCGGGUGAAGGAACUAGGCAAAAUGGUGCCGUAACUUCGGGAGAAGGCACGCUGAUAUGUAGGUGAAGUCCCUUGCGGAUGGAGCUGAAAUCAGUCGAAGAUACCAGCUGGCUGCAACUGUUUAUUAAAAACACAGCACUGUGCAAACACGAAAGUGGACGUAUACGGUGUGACGCCUGCCCGGUGCCGGAAGGUUAAUUGAUGGGGUCAGCGCAAGCGAAGCUCUUGAUCGAAGCCCCGGUAAACGGCGGCCGUAACUAUAACGGUCCUAAGGUAGCGAAAUUCCUUGUCGGGUAAGUUCCGACCUGCACGAAUGGCGUAAUGAUGGCCAGGCUGUCUCCACCCGAGACUCAGUGAAAUUGAACUCGCUGUGAAGAUGCAGUGUACCCGCGGCAAGACGGAAAGACCCCGUGAACCUUUACUAUAGCUUGACACUGAACAUUGAGCCUUGAUGUGUAGGAUAGGUGGGAGGCUUUGAAGUGUGGACGCCAGUCUGCAUGGAGCCGACCUUGAAAUACCACCCUUUAAUGUUUGAUGUUCUAACGUUGACCCGUAAUCCGGGUUGCGGACAGUGUCUGGUGGGUAGUUUGACUGGGGCGGUCUCCUCCUAAAGAGUAACGGAGGAGCACGAAGGUUGGCUAAUCCUGGUCGGACAUCAGGAGGUUAGUGCAAUGGCAUAAGCCAGCUUGACUGCGAGCGUGACGGCGCGAGCAGGUGCGAAAGCAGGUCAUAGUGAUCCGGUGGUUCUGAAUGGAAGGGCCAUCGCUCAACGGAUAAAAGGUACUCCGGGGAUAACAGGCUGAUACCGCCCAAGAGUUCAUAUCGACGGCGGUGUUUGGCACCUCGAUGUCGGCUCAUCACAUCCUGGGGCUGAAGUAGGUCCCAAGGGUAUGGCUGUUCGCCAUUUAAAGUGGUACGCGAGCUGGGUUUAGAACGUCGUGAGACAGUUCGGUCCCUAUCUGCCGUGGGCGCUGGAGAACUGAGGGGGGCUGCUCCUAGUACGAGAGGACCGGAGUGGACGCAUCACUGGUGUUCGGGUUGUCAUGCCAAUGGCACUGCCCGGUAGCUAAAUGCGGAAGAGAUAAGUGCUGAAAGCAUCUAAGCACGAAACUUGCCCCGAGAUGAGUUCUCCCUGACUCCUUGAGAGUCCUGAAGGAACGUUGAAGACGACGACGUUGAUAGGCCGGGUGUGUAAGCGCAGCGAUGCGUUGAGCUAACCGGUACUAAUGAACCGUGAGGCUUAACCUUACAACGCCGAAG
rnacentral:rRNA from 1 species